AUCACGCCGAAGACAGCAGGUGCCGAAGGGCGUAAGAAGACAAACGCCUGCCGAGGAUGAACAUUCUUUUACUAGAAUUUCGUUUCCUGUUCUGUUCUGGCGGAACAGGUUUUUUUGU
rnacentral:sRNA from 1 species